GAGAGCCGUAUGCAUUGAAAGGUGCACGUACGGUUCGGGGGCAAGCACGCAAAAACCUGCCUUUGGGCAAGGCGUUGUGUGCUUAGCCUAC
rnacentral:ncRNA from 1 species